CCUACGGGUGACAGCAGUGAGGAAUAUUGGUCAAUGGACGAGAGUCUGAACCAGCCAAGUAGCGUGAAGGAUGACUGCCCUAUGGGUUGUAAACUUCUUUUAUAUGGGAAUAAAACGUUCCACGUGUGGGAUUUUGUAUGUACCAUAUGAAUAAGGAUCGGCUAACUCCGUGCCAGCAGCCGCGGUAAUACGGAGGAUCCGAGCGUUCUCCGGAUUUAUUGGGUUUAAAGGGAGCGUAGGUGGAUUGUUAAGUCAGUUGUGAAAGUUUGCGGCUCAACCGUAAAAUUGCAGUUGAAACUGGCAGUCUUGAGUACAGUAGAGGUGGGCGGAAUGCGUGGUGUAGCGGUGAAAUGCUUAGAUAUCACGAAGAACUCCGAUUGCGAAGGCAGUUCACUGGACUGCAACUGACACUGAGGCUCGAAAGUGUGGGUAUCAAACAGGAUUAGAUACCCUUGUAGUC
rnacentral:rRNA from 1 species